rnacentral:rRNA from 1 species
AGAGUUUGAUCAUGGCUCAGGAUGAACGCUGGCGGCGUGCCUAAUACAUGCAAGUCGAGCGGUAAGGCUACUUCGGUAGUACACGAGCGGCGGACGGCUGAGUAAGGCAUAGGAAUCUACCCCGAAGUGAGGGAUAAGCACCAGAAAUGGUGUCUAAUACCGCAUGUGCUCUUAGGAGUAAAGCUACGGCGCUUUGGGAAGAGCCUGUGUAUGAUUAGCUUGUUGGUAAGGUAAAAGCUUACCAAGGCGACGAUCAUUAGCUGGUCUGAGAGGAUGAUCAGCCAGACUGGGACUGAGAACGGCCCAGACUCCUACGGGAGGCAGCAGUAGGGAAUUUUCCACAAUGGGCGAAAGCCUGAUGGAGCAACGCCGCGUGCAGGAUGAAAGCCUUCGGGUCGUAAACUGCUUUUAUAUGUGAAGAUUAUGACGGUAGCAUAUGAAUAAGGAUCGGCUAACUCCGUGCCAGCAGCCGCGGUCAUACGGAGGAUCCAAGCGUUAUCCGGAAAUUACUGGGGCGUAAAGAGUUGCGUAGGUGGCAUAGUAAGCGGACAGUGAAAGCGUGUGGCUUAACCACAUAAACAUUGCCUGAACUACUAAGCUAGAGAAUAAGAGAGGUACCUGGAAUUCCCAGUGUAGGAGUGAAAUCCGUAGAUAUUGUGAGGAACACCGAUGGCGUAGGCAGGGUACUGGCUUAUUUCUGACACUAAGGCACGAAAGCGUGGGGAGCGAACAGGAUUAGAUACCCUGGUAGUCCACGCCGUAAACUAUGGAUGCUAGCUGUUAUUGGUAUCGACCCCAGUAGUAGCAAAGCUAACGCGUUAAGCAUCCCGCCUGUGGAGUACGGUCGCAAGACUAAAACAUAAAGGAAUUGA